CUAAACGAAUCGCAUGGCCUUGCGCCGGCGAUGGUUCAUUCAAAUUUCUGCCCUAUCAACUUUCGAUGGUAGGAUAGUGGCCUACCAUGGUGGCAACGGGUAACGCUUCCCCUGUUGCCCGUUGCGCGCAGCACCCGUCGGGGAUCCCUUUCGGGGGAAUCUUCCCCGGCGACAUCNCUGGUUCANAGGACGCCCCCCCUUACGGGGGGGCCAACCCUGAGGCGAGUGCCCCCGGGCACCGUCGAAACGCAUGCGAAGUGGUGGGCCCCCGGACUCCGGGGGCUUUCGAUACAUGCUACCGCCCGGCGCCCCCGCCGGAGCGGCGUGUGAACGGGGAAUUAGGGUUCUAUUCCGGAGAGGGAGCCUGAGAAACGGCUACCACAUCCAAGGAAGGCAGCAGGCGCGCAAAUUACCCAAUCCCGACGCGGGGAGGUAGUGACAAUAAAUACUGAUGUGGAGCUCUUUAGGGUUUCACAAUUGGAAUGAAAACGAUCUAAACCAACUAAUGAGGAACAAUUGGAGGGCAAGUCUGGUGCCAGCAGCCGCGGUAAUUCCAGCUCCAAUAGCGUAUAUUAAAGUUGUUGCAGUUAAAAGCUCGUAGUUGAACCUUGGGCCUGGCCGCCCGGUCCGCCUCACCGCGUGCACUGGUUCGGCCGGGCCUUUCCUCCUGGGGAACCGCAUGCCCUUCACUGGGU
rnacentral:rRNA from 1 species